rnacentral:rRNA from 1 species
UGAGCAACCUGCCCCUGACUCUGGGAUAAGCGCUGGAAACGGCGUCUAAUACUGGAUAUGUGACGUGACCGCAUGGUCUGCGUCUGGAAAGAAUUUCGGUUGGGGAUGGGCUCGCGGCCUAUCAGCUUGUUGGUGAGGUAAUGGCUCACCAAGGCGUCGACGGGUAGCCGGCCUGAGAGGGUGACCGGCCACACUGGGACUGAGACACGGCCCAGACUCCUACGGGAGGCAGCAGUGGGGAAUAUUGCACAAUGGGCGCAAGCCUGAUGCAGCAACGCCGCGUGAGGGAUGACGGCCUUCGGGUUGUAAACCUCUUUUAGCAGGGAAGAAGCGAAAGUGACGGUACCUGCAGAAAAAGCGCCGGCUAACUACGUGCCAGCAGCCGCGGUAAUACGUAGGGCGCAAGCGUUAUCCGGAAUUAUUGGGCGUAAAGAGCUCGUAGGCGGUUUGUCGCGUCUGCUGUGAAAUCCGGAGGCUCAACCUCCGGCCUGCAGUGGGUACGGGCAGACUAGAGUGCGGUAGGGGAGAUUGGAAUUCCUGGUGUAGCGGUGGAAUGCGCAGAUAUCAGGAGGAACACCGAUGGCGAA